UGAGCACUGAAUAAUGUAAUCAUGAAUGCGGAAGAAUAACUGAAAUGACAUAAGGUUUUAAUAAUGAAACGACUACUGAAUUAUGAAUUUGGCAUAAUACUAAAAUCUGAAUAAUCUGAAUAGCUAACUGUAGUGUCUGAAAAACCCCUAAACUGAAUACAGUAAGUUGAUGGGAUAGGCCCCAACUAACCCUACUAACUACUAAGACAAAGAUAUGAAGUAAUAUAAUCUGUCCUCAGAUAAUAAGGACUCACCACUGCUACUGUACUGCUGAUAAUUUGAGAAUCUAGGUGUAAUCCAGGAACUGAGAAUCAGCACCUAUGAUAUGAGACAUCAUAGCGCAAAAGAAAAGAUAUGCGAUCAAUACUUUGAAUGCACUGGUAUGCUAAAUGAGGUAGACUGACAUACAAGGUUUCAUAAAUAGGAGAAAUAAACUAUCUGAAUAUACAUAUAAAGCAUGAGGUACUGAGUAUAGAACGUGAAACCUAUAGAUACUGGAGAUCUGUAAAGCACUUAAAAAACUGUAUAUGCAUGAGAGUCUGUAAAUACUGAAAAUACAUGAAAAUUUGUAGACCCUAAGGAUGCAUGACUAAGCAUAUAACAUGGACUGAGUAAAAUAUAUAAACUGAAUUAUUGACAAAAUACUGAUAUCUAUAUGCUUUGGUCAAACAACUCUAAGACUGCAUAACUGAACUGGGACUAUAUCUGAGACUGUGGGAGGUAUCAUCUAACUGACAUGCCCUAAUUUGAGCUAAUCGGGGUCCAACUUGUAACCCCAAUUAGAUGGGAGUUAUUACCGUGCUACGGGUAAUAACAUUGGUUAUGUGGAUCCACUAGACUGAUAUAAUGUCCAAAGGACUAAGGGUGUCAAGCCUGAACUGACGGGUAACCCCUGCGAGAUAGUCAAGCCUAAUUUGACGGGUGACUUUUUAUAUCCUACGCUGGCAACAUAGUUCUAGAAUAUAGGGACUGCUACUAACGACUCUGCCUAUCUAACGGGGAAUUCACCAUCCCUACACUCCCUUAGUGCUAAAUCCUACUCCCAACUGAAAGACACUUAGACACUAGACUAUUCUGGGUUUAAUGACUGAUAUCUAACUAUUUUGAUAAUGCUUAUAGUAUAAUAUGGAGACUAUUCUAUAAUGUACUGUGACUAGACUAAAUAAAAAACUAUGGUUUUUUGAGUAUUCAAUAUCCCCAGGACUCAAAACAACAAUACUGAAAAGACACUAAAGCUUGGGGGACAAAGCAUGAAGGCUUUUAUUAAAUCCAUCACUCUUGUAGGCAUUUUAUCAAACACUUGUAGUUCAUGAUUUAAAACAAUCAUAGGAAUGUCAUAAAACUUAUAGAAAUAGCAUGAAUUCGACAUAAUAGUAUUAAAUCAUGGUUUAAUCCAAUAAAUAAUAAUAUUAAGACAUGGAGGAUUGGAUAACAACAAUAAUUUCAUUGAAUCAUGGCAUAAAAUUAAUAGUACAUGGAGAUUCAUGGGUGAAAUCACAAUUCAAAUCAAUUAACUUGAAAAGAUGAUAGAUUUGUAAUUAAAACGGAUACUUGGACUCCAUGGAUAAAAGGGAUCCAUGGAUGAACAUCUAACAUACCUGGGAUGAUGAAUUUGGAAGGAUUGAUGGAGAGUUCUUAAGAUUUGACCUUGAUUCUUGAAGUUUAGGGUUUUGCUAAUUGAGAGAAGUUUCUUGAUUUGGGGAAAAAUUGAUUAAAAUAAUGCCCAAUUAGGUUAUUAGGUACUUAAUUUCAUGUUUGGGGUUGACUGGGUUAAGGAAAAAGUACUUAAAAGCCCUUAGAAUUAAAACUCGAAAUGAACUAAAAAUCUUAAUUUUUUGGGCUGGCGCGACGCAGGGAAAUCACGGUCCUUCACUGAUUGGGACCUGAAAUUUCACUGCGACGCGGUGGUAUCACGCUUCGACACUGGAAAUGGACAAAUGUCAAGUUGGCCUACGGCGCGAUGCGCCAAAAUUGUGGACCCUCACUGGAAUUUGCCAAAUGGGAGAUUGGCUUGCUCCACGAUGCGCUAAACGUUAAAAUAAUGGUGUUUAAUGUCUGAAAAUUAAAAUCGCCAUAACUUCUUACCCGAUUAUCGGAUUUAGGAAAAUUUUAUAUCAUUGAAAAGCUAAUAUAAUUUCUACGCAAUGGCAGACUAUAAACUGAAAAAUAAUGAGUGUGUCAAAAAUUUCAUAUACGAAUACUCACGUAUUGGGACUUAGAUUAUUCUAGGAAAAUACGGGGUAUUACAGAUCGACCCCAACCUAGUUGGGUUAUUAUAUUUGCAAUCAAAUGCAUUGUACUUCUACUUAGAGUGUAGUUUUGGGAAACAUCAAUUCCCCAAUUCCUUCAACAUUAACCUGUAUGAAUACACAAGAUUAGUAUAAAGUGGGGAAGCAUAGUGAAGUUGAUAAAUUAGGUCAAUUGAGUCUGUUUCAAUUUCCGCCAGGGUGAUAUUUUUGUCUUUUGCCAAGUGAAGGCCUUGAACUAAAGCUUGGAGCUCGGACAUGGUGGGAUUGAGGGAGGUAGUUUUUAUAUAAAAACCCACCACCCAUUGUACGUUAGAGUUUUUGAUGACUCCGUCUAUUCCAGCAAUGAGAUUUUGAGGAAAAAACGCCCCAUCUAUAUUUAGUUUGAGGCCAUUAGUAGGGGAAAACCAUAGAAUGGGAACAACUAUUUUAGCAUAUUUUUGAGGGAUUUUAGUAGCAGUGUACACAUAUUCCAAAGAAAGCAUUAAGACAUAGUUAUAGGAGACAGGCUGCGGCAGGUCGCGGGCCUUGUUAAAAAUCGUUUGAUUUCUAUAAAUUCAUAUAUUCCAUAAUGAGAAUAGGUAAAAAAACACGCCAAGAGACACUGGAGUUUCAAAGAAGAAUCUUAAUAUUGUUAAUAAUAGAGAGCCAGUGGGCAGAGGUAUUAAUAAGAUUGUUCAUAUUUAAACCCAUAUCUAACCAAAGUUUUCUAAGUCAAGGGAAAUCAAAGAGGAUAUGGGUUAAGUUUUCUAUCUCAUCGUUACAAAUAGCACAAUUCGCAUUAGUGAGUAACCCUAGAUGAUAAAUAUGAGCGUUUGAAGGAAUUUUAUUAUGAGAGCAUAACCAAAGAAAUGUUUUAAUUUUGGGAAGAGUAUUGAGAUCCAUAUUCAAUCAAACUUAUAAAUACUCCAGGUUUGAUGCAUAUGUAAGAGUUGGCAAGCCGAUCUGAUUGAUAAUAAACUGUUGGAGUUUAACGCCUAGUAGGUAAUAUCAGGUAUAAAGUGGUUGAUCUUUAGCUUAGAAGAUUUGUGCUUGAUGUCUGUAGGAAUUUCCAUGGAUAGGUAGUUCCAGUUCCAAGAGUCUUGGUUCCAAAGGUCUUUGAGUCUGACAGGGUUUCAAUCGUACUCCUAUUUUUCGGCGCCCAAGAGAUAGCCUUUGCGCAAAUGAAACUCAUACACAAGAUAUUUUUCCAAAUAAAUGAGGGUUUGGUUCUAUAGAAAGAAGGCCCAUAUUUAUUUAAGAAAUUUGUAGCCCAAAAAGAUCGAGUAUAUUAAAUUGUCACAAGUGUGACGACUUGUCACCAAUGUCGUCAACCUUAAGCAGAAAAUCAUAAAAUCCACCCUUUUGUGAUGACAUUUCGUGACGACUUGUCACGAAUGUUGUCAGCUAUUUUUCAGCAAUUAAAGGACAUUUUUGCAAUGGUAUUUUGGUCUUUUUCCAUCUUUUGGAGGCCCCUAUAUAUAUGAGAAUUCUCAUUUAAACCCUAAUUUCUUCAUUCUCUCUUCCAAUUCUCUUAAGAAAUAUAUCUAGGAUUUUUAUUUAAGGAUAUUAAUCUUCCAAAAAUCAUCCAUAAAUCUUCAAGAUUUCUUCAAGAAUCAAGUUCCUCAUAGUGUGGGCUUCGAGAAUCAUUUAUUACAAGUGCGGAUAGAGUCUCAAGCAUUAGAAUUCAUCCAAUUUCAAAGAUUAAAGUAUGUGGGGUUUUGAACAAUAGCAAUUCUUUCGUUCUUGUGCCCAAAGCUUUGAUUUCUAUCAUGGAUUUAUAUGAUUUUUCAAGUGGGUUUAUACCCAAAUUACUUCAUAUUUUUAUUUUUACUUGUGGUUUACUUAAUUUGUUUGAAUCAUAACAAACUGGUAUCAAAGCUUGGUUGAUUGUUUUCUCGGGGAUGACAACUAUAAAGUAUGAUAUUUCAUUGUUGGAUCGUAAUACUAGAUUUUUGUUAUGGCAGGUUAAGAUACGGGCUGAGCUCACAAAGAUGGAUUUGAACGAUGCGCUGUUAGGGUUAGAUCACAUGCCCUCAUCGUGGACCGGUGAUGGUAAACAGCGUAAGGAUUGAAAGGCACUAUCUCAGAUCCACCUUCAUUUAUCUAAUAAGAUUUUGCAGGAUGUUUUGAAGGAGACCACUGCCAUUGCGUUAUGGUUGAAAAUGGAAUCAUUGUGUAUGACGAAGAGCCUAACUAGUAAGUGCAUCUCAAACAAUGACUUUAUUCCUAUUGUAUGUCUGAGGGUGCGUCCUUGGAGGAUCACCUAUCUGUCUUUAAGGAAAUGGUCUCUGAUUUAGAGAAUCUGGAGGUUAAGUACGAUAAGGUAAAUUUAGGGUUAAUUCUGUUGCGUUCGCUGCCUGCAUCAUACUUGACCUUUAGGGCUAUGAUUUUAUAUAGUCGUGAUACCCUGAUCAUAGAUGAAGUCUAUGAUAUGUUGUUCUCUAAAGAGAAUAUGAAGUAUCUUGUGAAUGGGUUGGAGACUCAAGGAGAUGGUCUUAUUGUUUGAGGAAGGACUCGUAAGAGGAACUCUAGGGGUGAUGAUAGGUUUAGAUCGAAAUCCAGAAAUAGAAACAAAACCUGUAAUUACUGCAAGAAGAAGGGCCAUAUCAAAUUCGAGUGUUGGAAGUUAUAGAAUAGAGAGAAAAGAGAAGCUCCAAAACCAAAGGGAAACUAACCAGAGAAGUUCGAUAAAGCCAGUUUUAUUGAAGAUGGUGAUAGUGAUGGAGAACUCUUGGUUGUUUUUUAUGGUAACUCCAAACCCUAUGAGGAUUGGAUUCUUGAUUCAGCUUGCACGUUUCAUAUGUGUCGCAAUCGGGAUUGGUUUACAACAUAUGAAACAGUCUCAAAAGGUGUUGUGUUGAUGGGAAAUAACACACCUUGUAAGAUAGCUGGUAUUGAAACAAUCAGAACUAAGAUGUUUGAUAGGAUUGUGAAGACACUUGGUGAUGUGCGGUAUGUCCCAGACCUGAAGAGAAAUUUUAUUUUCUUGAGUACUCUUGAUUCGAACAGAUAUAGGUACACUGGUGAAAGUAUAGUCCUAAAGGUUACUAAAGGCGCUCUUGUUGUAAUGAAGGGACAGAAAUUUGUAUGUCUUGUAAGGCGCUACGGUUACAGGUGAUGCAACUGUUUCUACCUCCCCUCUAUCAGAAACUAACAUUGCUAAACUUUGGCAUAUACACCUGGGGCAUAUGAGUGAAAAUGGGAUGGCUAAACUAAGCAGGAGAGGACUUCUUGAUGGGCAGAGUAUUACCAAAUUAGAGUUCUGUGAGCAUUGCAUUUUUGGGAAGAAGAAAAGAGUCAGAUUCACUAAAUGCAUCCACUCAACUAAAGACACACUUGAUUACAUUCAUUAUGAUCUCUGGGGUCCUUCUAGAGUACCUUCUAGAGUAACUGCAAAUUACUUGUUGACUAUUAUUGAUGACUAUUCCAGAAAAGUUUGGGUGUUCUUCCUAAAGCAAAAGAAUGAUGUGUUGCCUACUUUCAAUGGGUGGAAGAUUAUGAUUGAAAAGCAAACAGGGAAGCAGGUAAAACGCCUUCGGACUGAUAAUGAUUUAAAGUUCUAUUCUAAUGAAUUUAAUGCUCUGCGCAAGCCAGAAGGAAUUGUGAGGCAAAAUUCAUUACUCUACAGUAGAACGGUAUGGCUGAACGAAUGAAUAGGACUAUAAUGGAGAAGAUGCGUUGUAUGCUCUCUAAUGCUGGUUUACCCAAGAUUUUUUGGGCCGAAGCUGCUUCCACAACUUGUCUUCUUAUUAACCGCUCUCCCUCAGUGGCGAUUGAUAAAAGAACUCUACAAAAGGUAUGGUCUGGUGUCAAGUGCUUAUUUAUGGAUUAUAAGCUGGGUGUUAAAGGUUGUAAGAUUUGGUGUCUAUAAAGCAGAAAGAUUAUAAUUAGCAGGGAUGUUGUGUUUGAUGAAACUGUUAUGCUUUGGGCUCCUUCCGAAUCUAGUGCUUCGCCUCCAAAUGAGUUUAGUGACAUAAAGAAGCAACAAUCAAGAACUUACGUUGAAUUGUAGAUUGGAGUAGAGUUUACACCAGUGCCUACUUCUCAUUUUAGCCCAGAGAUACAGAGUAGUACUAUUUCUUCUUCACCACCAGUGACGCCAUAAUAUUCUAUUGCUAAAGACAUGCCUAGAAGAGAUAUUAGAGCUCCUCAAAAAUAUGUUGAAGUUGAUUUGGUUGCUUAUGUAUUGAAUGUAGCAGAAGGUAUUAAUUUUGAUGAAGAUCCUUCUUUUUACUCAGAUAUAGUUAGUUGUGAUGAUUCCGACCGAUGGAUGAUUGCUAUGCAGGAGAAGAUAGAAUCACUUUAUAAGAAUGGCAUAUGGGAUCUGGUGAGAUCGCCUAAAGAUAAGAAAGUUGUUCGUUGUAAGUGGGUAUUUAAAAAUAAAGAAGGAACAUCGGGAGUUUAAGAUGCUAGGUACAAAGCAAGACAAGUUGCUAAAGGUUAUAAUCAGGUUCCAGGUGUUGACUUCACAAAUGUGUUUUCUCCAGUUGUAAAGCAAAGUUUGAUUCGAGCCUUGCUUGGUAUUGUGGCCAUGCAUGAUAUUGAGCUUGAGCAGUUGGAUAUCAAAACUACAUUCUUACAUGAAGAACUUGAGGAGGACAUCUAUAUACAGUAACCAGAGGGUUUUGUAGUCUCAGGAAAGAAGGACUACGUAUACUUGCUAAAAAAGUUUCUUUAUGGCUUAAAACAGUCUCCCAGGAAGUGGUAUAAAAGGUUUGACUCUUUUAUGACCUCUCAUAUAUUUCAGAGGAGUAGUUAUGAUAGCUAUGUCUACUUCAAGGAGGUACGUGAUGGUUCGUUCGUGUAUGUUCUUUUGUAUGUUGAUGAUAUGUUGAUUGCAGCAAAGGAUAUGAGAGAAAUAAUAAAAGUCAAUGCCCAACUCAGGAAGGAAUUUGAGAUGAAGGAGCUAGGAGAAACAAAGAAGAUUCUUGGCAUGGAAUUUAUGAGGGAUAGAGAGAAAUGUAAGUUAUACUUGAGUCAAAAAAGGUAUAUUGAGAAAGUGCUUCACAGGUUCAAUAUGCAAAAUGCCAAACCUAUAAGUACUCCAUUGGCAUCUCACUUCAAAAUCUCGUCCACUUUAUCUCCAAAGAUAGAUGAUGAGCGUGACUAUAUGUCUUGAGUUCCAUACUCUAGUGUCGUCGGGUCUCUUAUGUAUGCGAUGGUGUGUUCCCGACCAGAUUAAUCUUAUGUCGUCAGUGCAGUAAGCAGAUACAUGGCAAAUCUUAGCAAAGAAUAUUGAAAAACAGUUCAGUGGAUUUUCAGAUACUUACAUGGAUUUACUGAUGUUUGUUUGCAGUUUGGGUGAAAUAGAGAUAAAGUAAUCGGGUAUGUUGAUUCUGAUUUUGCAGAAGAUCAUGAUAAAAGGAGGUCCCUUACAGGCUAUGUUUUCACCAUUGGUGGUUAUUCUAUCAGUUGGAAAGCUACCUUACAGACUACGGUAGCUUUGUCAACUGCUGAGGUAGAGUACAUGGCUAUUACAGAGGCUUUCGAGGAAGCUAUUUGGUUAAGGGGUCUGUUUGGUAAACUUAGCAAAGACUUACAGAUUACUAUGGUAUUUUGCGACAGUCAGAGUGAUAUCUUCCAUAUGAAAGAUCAGAUGUUUCACGAGAGGACAAAGCACAACGAUGUUCGAUAUCUUUUUAUGUGUGAAAUUAUUGCUCGUGGUGAUAUUGUGGUGAGCAAGAUUAGUACUCAUGAUAAUCCUGUUGAUAUAAUGACUAAGACACUACUAAGUGCCAAGUUUGAUCAUUACUUGGACUUGGUUGGUGUUAGUUGUUAAGAUGUGCCCUUAGGGGCUUUUUGUGGAAGAGGUGGAGAGUUUGUGUUGAAAUGGAUUUGAGUUCUGAAUUAGAAUUUGUGUCAAGGUAGAGAUUGUUAGAGUUGUGACCCGAAUUUUAUUGAUUCGGCCUAGAAAAUUUUGCGGUACGACCCAUGUUUGUGAUUUUUAAUGGGGUCUAUGGUGGUAGCGUAGGGAUCGGGCUGAUUCCAAUAGGGUGCAGGAGCGAAGCCCCCACGGUAUGGACCUUUAUGUUUUUAGGCCUAGGACUUAGUUGUAUGCACGUAUUAUAUAAGUGCAUUUAGUGGGUUGUUUUGGGUAUUUAGAAAAAUAUGUCAUUGAGACAAUUCAUCUUCAUGUUGUACUCUCUCUCUUCAUUGUAGUGAAUUUCUCUGCCCCUGCUUGUGGUUUUUCCCGCAAGAGACUACCUAGUAUGAGGGGGUUCGAUGCUUUAUUUAGGGAUUAAGACUCUCUCUCUUUAUGUCUGCACAGAGUUUGGUUGCUACAGGUAGAUCUUUUGUGAAGGUUUUUAAUCAUUCUCAGGUUAUGGAAUAGAUACAUAGUGAGGCCUAAGGGGGGACCAAUAAGAGGCCUCGGUAUCAUGCAGCUUCAGUGGGAGACAUAGUGGAUCAUGAUACAGAGGUAGUAGUUCUCAGGGUAGGUAUCCUUAGCAUCAACCUUAUCAACAUCUAGGUUAGUCUAUUAGACUAUUCAUGUUACUUUUUAGAUCACUGAUGGAGGUCAAUCUAGUUUUAGUGAUCAUCCUAGCUAGAGUAAUGGCCAACCUAUGAGGGGUUCAUCUUCGGGGAUUCUAGUCGUGGUGGUUAUUCUAGGUCAGGCGGAUCUUCUGGGUUCAGUACAGCUCCAGGGGCAUGUUAUGGUUAUGGGGCCUUUGGCCAUUUAUCGAUAUAGUGCCCCAGUCAUGGAGCGAUAGUUCCUUCAGCUCAUAGUGUUUCAUCGAUUAGGGUAGUACAUUCCCCAACUAGAUGUGGUGGCCCCCAGGAUACUUUUGGAGGUCCUCAGGGAGGUAGGACAGGAGAUCAAUAAGAUCCCAGCCAGGUGGCGGGCGCGAUCAAUUGUACGUUGUACUUGCUAGAUUCAAGGCUGAGUCUUUGAAUAUUGUUAUCAUGUGUACAUCUUACUGUGCCAUCAGUCAGUUUUUGCUUUAUUUGAUCUGAGAUCUACGUAUUCUUAUGUAUCUAUUUAUUAUGCCCCAUAUUAGAGUUAUAUAAGAUUGUUAUCUAUGUCGUUAUGUAUAUUUACUCUCAUGGGUGAUUCUUUAGUAGUAGAUCAUGUGUUGUGAUUAUUCGAGAUUUUGAUACUCAGGCUAAUCUUAUUGUAUUAGACAUGGUAGAUUUUGAUGUGAUUCUGAGCAUGGACUGGUUAUCCCACUAUCAUGCAGUCUUAGAUUAUUUUGCCAAGAUCGUUACCUUAGCCAUGUCCGACAUACCCUCGAUUGUGUGAGAAAGAGCUAUUAGCCGCGAUCCGAUAGGGAUUAUUUAUUAUGCUUGGGAUAGGAGACUUAUUUUGAGGGGUUAUGAGUCUUAUCUCGCUUAUACUCGUGAUGUUAGUAUGGAGAGUCCGUCGCUUAUCUCUAUUCUUAUAGCUUGCAAGUUUCGUGAUGUUUUCCCUANNNNNNNNNNNNNNNNNNNNNNNNNNNNNNNNNNNNNNNNNNNNNNNNNNNNNNNNNNNNNNNNNNNNNNNNNNCUACAGAUCUACCUAGUUUUCCUCUUGAGUGCGAUAUUGAGUUUGUUAUUGAUCUUGAGCUAGGCACUCGACCUUUAUCUAUAGCACCUUACUGUAUGGCUCUUGUCGAGCUCAAAGAGUUGAAUUUGCAACUUCAAAAUCUUCUGGGUAAGAGUUUCAUCAUACCGAGUGUGUCUCAUUGGGGAGCUCUCUUGUUUGUAAAGAAGAAGGAUAGUUCCUUGAGUAUGUAUAUUGAAUAUAGGUAGCUUAAUAAGGUGACAAUGAAGAACCGAUAUCCUAUGCCUCAUAUUGAUGAUUUAUUUGACUAGAUUUAGGGAGCAGCGGUAUUCUCUAAGAUUGACUUGAGGUUCGGUUACCAUCAGUUGAGGAUUCGGGCCGAAAUUUCCCAGAGACAAAUUUUAGUACUUGUUAUGGCCAUUAUAAGUUCCUGGUGACUUUUUUGGGUUAACCAAUUCCCCAACUGUGUUCAUUAAUUUGAUGAACCGCGUGUUCAGGCCUUAUUUGAAUUCCUUCGCUAUUGUGUUCAUCAAUGACAUCCUUGUGUUUUCAAGGAGUAGAGAGGAACAUAUGCAGCAUUUAAGGAUUAUGCUCCAGGCUUUGAGAAAUCAUAGGCUUUUUGCCAAAUUCUCUAAGUAUGAGUUCUGGUUGGAGUCGGUGACAUUUCUAGGACAUGUGGUGUCUAAGGAUAAGGUUAUGGUGGAUCAUCCAGUGAAGAUUAAGGCUAUUCAUUAUUGGUCCAGGCCUACAUCCCCAUCUGAGGUUUGUAGCAUCAUUGGUUUGGCCGGUUACUAUAGGCGAUUUGUUGAGGAUUUUGCUACUAUUGCAGCGUCGAUGACCAGAUUGACUCGAAAGGAGGUUUUUUUUUGGUAUUUUAAGGAGCGUGAGUCAAAAUUUGGGAAGCUCAAAGGAUUUCUCACUUUAGCUCCUAUAUCGGCUCUUUCUAUUGAGGGUGAGAGAUUCACUAUGGAUUGAAAUAUUUUCGGUGUCGGUUUGGGUUGUGUUUUGAUGCAACAAGGUCAAGUUAUUACUUAUGUAUCGAGGCAGCUGAAGGUGCACGAGCGCAACUAUCUCAGUCAUGAUUUAGAGUUGGCAGUGGUAGUUUUCGCGCUUAAGAUUUGGAUACAUUAUCUUUAUGGCGUGCAUUAUGAGAUUUUCACGGAUCAUCAUUAUAUUCAACAUCUUAUGACCCAAAGAGUGCUUAAUUCUAGGUAGCGAAGAUGAAUGGAGUUUCUUAAGUAUAAUGAUAUCUCUAUGUUAUAUCAUCCGAGCAAGGCGAACGUGAUAGCAGAUGACUAUGUUAUAUCAUCUGAGCAAGGUGAACGUGGUAGCAGACGACUUGAGCUGGAAGGCAGUAUGGGUAGUUUGACAUCUAUUUUAAUUUUUCAAAGGCCGUUAACAUGGGACAUCUAGUCCUUAGCCAACUUGAUGGUGUGACUUGGUAUUUUAUACCCUAGGAGGACUCUUGUUAGUGUUGAGGCAAGGUUUUACUUUAUUUGAGCAGAUUCAGAGUUUUCAGUUUAAGGAUAUGAGAUUUUACAUCAUUCAUGAUUAGGUGUUGAGUGGUGAGUGCAAUAGGGUAGUCGACUUUGCAUAAGGCUCACAACUCCAGAUGCUCUAUUCAACCAAGUACAACUAAUAUGUAUAAAGAUUUGAGGCAGCAUUAUUGGUGGAGUGGUACGAAAAGAGAUGUAGCGGACUUUGUAGCUCGUUGCCUAUGUUGUCAACAGGUGAAGGACGAGCAUCAGAGACCUGGUGUCUUGAUUCAGAGAUUGCUCAUUCUCGAGUCGAAGUGGGAGCAGAUUAUCAUGGACUUCGUUUGUGGUUUGCCUAGUACUUCCCGUAGAUCUAGUGGUAUUUGGUUCAUUAUGGAUAGGUAGACCAAGUUGGCAUAUUUCAUUCCUAUUCAAAUGUCCUUCAGUUCUGAGGUGUUAGCCCGUAACUAUGUUUGGGAGAUAGUCUGGUUGCAUAGUAUGCCUAUAUCUAUCAUUACAGACCAUGGCUCAGUGUUCACAUCGACCUUUUGGAGAGCUUUCCAGGAGGAGUUGGAUACUCAGGUGGAUCGUAACAAAACCUUCCAUCCUCAGACUGACGGGCAGCCAGAGCGUUUCAUGUUCUUUUUGCCAUAGGUAGGCCUUCGUCCAAACAAAUUGAUAUAGACGAAUCUAGAUUUUGACAUAUUUUGAAUUCAGAACAAUUUCAAGUUUUCUUGAGGAGGGGAUAUAUCCAACAAGGGUGGCUGAGAGAGGCCUUGAUGGUGGUGAUAAAGACGUACAAUCGGUAUGAAUUGAUAGGAGUGAAGUAAAAUGAUGUUUUCAAAAAGUAAGUAUCCCAAACCUCGUUAUUGAUGAAUGAAGAUCAUGUGGUAAAGAUAUCAAACAUAAGAGGAGUAUUGACAAUGCCUUACGCUCAUCGGCUGGAAAGAGUUAAAAAUGGGUCGAGAUGAAUAAUAUUUCAUAUUCAUUGUCUUGAAGAAAGGUGUCAAAUAAAUGCAGAGCUUUGAAUAAUAUUCUACGUCUGCUAACUAGAAAGAAGGAAUCAAAUAUUGGAAGAAUGCUUGACGACAUUCCACUCCCGUUUGGACCAAAAAAAGUUAGACGUAUGUGAAGUUUUUUAGUGAUAUUCCAUAUUUGUGGACUUAAAGAGAAAGUCAAAGGAAAGAAAGCUUUUUUAGAACACUCGGAUUUCAUGGACUUUGAGAAAGAUAUUGGUGAAGUAAAGUUUAAACAAUGCUCUGUAUUCGAGAAAGGAGUGUCAAAUUUUGGCGAGUUUGGGUAAUACUCUAUGAUGUCGGAUGAAGAAAGAGUAAAAGAAGGUCAAUCCAAUUGUUCUGAAUCCAUUAUUGUUCGAUUUCUAGACUAUCUGAAUCAUUUCUAACACAAAAUACGUCAUAAAGGUUUCAUCACCCUCUGAAGAAAGGGUGGCUUCCUAAUUGCGAAGACGAUACCUUGAAUCGUCCCGCUUAAGGUUUAUGAAGCAUGACCUAUUGCUAGAGUAAAAUUUUUUCUAGAUGUUUUAGAGUGAAACUAAAUAGUUACGAGAAGGUACACUAACCUAAAUGCACUAACUCUGAAACUAGGAAAUUCAAAGAAGGUUUGGGGGGGUGUGAGACACCCCCGCAUGAACCACAGUGUGUGAAGUGUGUACGGCCAAGGACUCGAUAGAAAAAUGUAAAUGAGAAAGCAGUAACGUAUAGUGUUUUCAAACAAAUAAGGAAAACAAGUUUGGGUUUGGCUUGCAUCCUUUUCAAACAAAGCAAAAUAUAAAUGUAAAUAAAGCAAGUAAAAGAAAAAAUUCCAAAUAAUAAUCCUAAACUAAUUCUGCUAAGGUCAAAACCUAAUUUUAUCCCCAACAGAGUCGUCAUUCUGUCGCGCCCUAUUUCGAAUCGGUUGAAACUGCACACAACAUGUGGCUGCUGGUCGUGACUCUUGGGGUUUGAAAAAUAUUUUUUAGAGUCGCUAUCUAACUUCUUAGGAAAAUUAGGAAAACCCAUUUUUAUUAUAAAACUCUGUUUUGGUCUAUCAAAAAUAUUCUGAGAUUCUGAGUAAGGGUUUUGGUUACUCGAAGGAAAGGCGUUAGGCACCCCUCAAACCCUAUCUGAAGAUAGUCCUUAGACUCAAUUUAGGAAAAUAUUUGGGAAAAAGUUGUUUCUUCUUACUCCCUAAAAUAGUGAUAGGAACAUUUAUAUUAUUUUAGAACAAAAAAAAUCCAAGGUAUAUAAAAUGCAUCCAACAAAAAGGGUACCCUUGAUAUAAUGUGUAUUGGGGAAAAUAAAAUAUAAUUUUAUAAGAAUAUAAUGUUUAAUGGCGUAUGAAAUUAUAUACAUGAAUGAAAUAGUUUUCAAAGUAGAGAGAUAUAAUUUUAAAAAUGUGUGGAAUUUUAUUCAUUAUAAAAUGAAUAUUAGUAUCUAAGAGUACGAAGAAGAUAUGCAAAUUGGUUUAAUUGAAAAAUAAAUCUAUAUAAAAGUGUUUGUUACAAAGUAAAGAAAAGACGUCAAAACAUAUUAACAUACUAUUUCUCGAGUAAAUUAGACUUAGCGUAUAUUUAAAAUAUAAGUAAUCAUGUUAGUGUUUGUUUAUUCACAAAAUCUUAACGGAUGAAUUCGGGUAAAAUAUAACACUUGAAAGUGGAUAAAAAUAAAUUUGAUAGUAAAAUAUACAAGUGUAGUUAAAAUGUAAUAAAAAAUAAAUAUAAUAGUGAUAUAAAUAUACCUUGUGUGUAAUAGUAUGUGUAUACAUACCUCGCAAUUUUUAGCCUCUUGAAAUAUGAAAAGAACUCAAAACAAGCAUUGGAAUAGAUAAUAACACAAAAAUUGAAAUCAUUUUAUUUAUUGCAACAAGUCGAAACUGAUGAAUAGGCCUUUUCUUUUGUCAAAAAUCGAAAUUUUACUACUCGUGAUCACCCAAUAAUAAUAUUGAAACUCUUCUUUUAUUUUGAGAAAACGUUGAGUUGCGACAUCCAUUUUUGUAAGAAAAACUCCAUUUUGGCAAAUAUUUCGUUUCAAAGAAUAAGCGGAAUGUCAAAAGGGCUCAAGUCUUUCUAUUAUUAUUUAAGAAAAAAUCAUUGAACUAGUUGUGCAUUAAUUGUGAAAAAUGAGGACGUUAAGCUACUUCACAAGGAUCCACAAAUAAUUUGGCAAUAUAAAACAAUAAACAAUAAGUUAUCUUAAACAUAAUCAAUAACAAAAAUAAGAAUUAGACAUCAAUAAAAGGACGAGAGACUAAGGAAUACUAGACUCCAUUUAGGAGUUGGACUUCUACUUUACGCGACUCCGAGGCUCUGUGAUCCUAGUAGUUUGUUGACCCGAUGCUAUGUGUCAAGAUGAGUUCCACUGCGGAACUCCAACUCUCGAGUGUUCCAUGUAAGAGGAAGAAAAGAUAAAGAUUAGAAAUCAAACUAAUUAUAAGAAUUAAAAAAAGGAAAUACAUAUCGCAUAAAAACUUCAAUAUUGAAUUUUAAUCACUACCUAGCGUUAACAUGUAAAUAUAUAACCAUGACUCCUUAAUCAAAUUGUAAGAGAUACAAGGAACAAGGAAACAUACACCUACUGGACACAAAAAAUUUUUAAAAAAAUAAUUAGAAAUAAAAGUUCCUUUUGAACAACAUUUACCAACUUAACACCUAACUUAAUUCAAGUGAGCAUGAAGGGGGAAAUAAACCAAUCAAUAGUUCGAACAAUUUAAUGGGAAAAGAACUACGUUUUGAUCCUUAUGAAUUAACUCUUAAAAGCUCGCAACAAGAUAUCAAAAUAGUGAUUACUUAAAUAUUAUUCAAAUACAUCCCCACCAAGGCUUGGAUCAAAACAUAAAGAGGAGGGGGAGAAACUGUAAGAAACAUGUUUAUCCUAUAUUAACAAGAUGGGAAAGAAAUCUCAGGUGACGUGAUUCAACCAAUUUUUAAAGCUUACUAACAAACAUGUAGCCUCCCUCUAUUGUUCUCCUUGUUUACAUGUUCUAUAUAUAACCCGGCAAACUACACAAAACUACGCCACUAUAUUAAACGAGAACGAUCAAGUGUAUUAUCUCCAAAAAUACACACAGAGAAUACAAACAACAACAGUAAAACAAAAUUCAGAUUGGAUCAACAAUGAAAUCACUCUAAUGUACUUGAAACAACUACAAACUUUAAAACAACAAAUGAGUUUGAUUUGCUAAAUAAACAAACAACAACACCUAAAACAAGAUAAACAGACACAUACGCACAUCCAAACAGGGGAACACGAGAAACAUGGAACUCUAUUCUGCUUCCAACAGUUCCAAAGCAAGAUGAGGACAUACACGCACGUUUACAAACCUCUAUGUUUGCAUUUUUAUCCACAGAAUAGUUUUCACAAAAAAAAUCAGCUCUGUGAUUUUAUCCCCAAGCCAACAGAAGCAACAACAAAUGUAAACUUAACAGAGGUUCGCGCACAAGCCCAAUUUUCAAAACCAGUCAUCGACAACCCAAACUAUUGGAAUUCAUACAAUGAUCCGUCCUUAACAAACAAACACAAAACUUCAACGAAUCUAAACUAAGAUUUCAAGAUCAAAGCAAAUCAUCUUAUAUUCACGGAAACAAAAAAUGAAUGAAAAAUAAAGAGAUGAAAGUAAAGUAAAAGGAGGCGGGUUCGCACCUUUUUUCGGGUAGCAAUACUGAGGCUCAACGUCAAGGAUUCUUCCGGCAACGAACUCAGACCCGAAACUUGAACUCGCUCCUUGUUUUCUAUCGAUUUUUCCACACUUUACUCUAUUUUUUUCCCCAAAGUUAAGCCCUUUUUUUGUCAAUUUCCGACCUUACUCACUAGCUUUUUUUUCACUCUUUCUUCACUGAUUUUUGUUUCUUUUGCACCCCCCCCCCCUUUUGAAGCUUAAGAACACCCAUAUGUAUAGAUGAAAAUCAAAAAAAAAUCGCCAAAACGUGAGAUUCGAAAUUUGAAUUCAAGUUUUGAUGAGACCUGUCUCUGCCUUAGCGAUUUUAUGCCGAUUUGACUGAAAUAGUGCGUUUUUCACUAAUUUAGGACUGGUCUCUCUGAUUAAGGGGAAAUACCGGGUUGAAAAUGUCAAAAAUGGGGAUCUUCGCAGGGGGUGGCAGCUAUGGCUCCCACGGCACAGCUAGGGUUUGGUUUGGGGGUGGUGGAGGAGCGGGGAAGGAGAAGAAACAAAAGGGUCAAUGAUUGUUGUUUGUUGUACUAAUUGUUGACUAGAAAUAUAGGUCGUCCGAUCAUUUAAAUCAGACGGUCCAAAUUUAAUAUAGGAAUAUAAUAAAAUAAUAAAUUAUAUACAUAAAUAUAAAAAUAACUAAAUAAUUAAAAAAUUUGAGACUCUCAGAGUAGAAAUAAAUUAACGGACUAGACCAAUUUGUAUUUUUUAGGGUGAAGCGGAUUUGGCAAUUGUAUUGAGUUUCAGGUCAAAUUUAUAAAUAAGAGUUGGGUUUGAAAAUAAAGUUGAAAUUGGAUUAGUGUUGGCCUGAAUACUCUUUUUCUACUAAAAUUAAUUUUGUUCAUGCUUCCUGCUACCCUAAAAUUAUUUUAAUCUAACGUAUAAAAAUUAAAUAAAU
rnacentral:lncRNA from 1 species